rnacentral:rRNA from 1 species
UGGCGACCGGCGCACGGGUGAGUAACACGUAUCCAACCUGCCGUCUACUCUUGGACAGCCUUCUGAAAGGAAGAUUAAUACAAGAUGGCAUCAUGAGUCCGCAUGUUCACAUGAUUAAAGGUAUUCCGGUAGACGAUGGGGAUGCGUUCCAUUAGAUAGUAGGCGGGGUAACGGCCCACCUAGUCUUCGAUGGAUAGGGGUUCUGAGGGGAAGGUCCCCCACAUUGGAACUGAGACACGGUCCAAACUCCUACGGGAGGCAGCAGUGAGGAAUAUUGGUCAAUGGGCGAGAGCCUGAACCAGCCAAGUAGCGUGAAGGAUGACUGCCCUAUGGGUUGUAAACUUCUUUUAUAAAGGAAUAAAGUCGGGUAUGCAUACCCGUUUGCAUGUACUUUAUGAAUAAGGAUCGGCUAACUCCGUGCCAGCAGCCGCGGUAAUACGGAGGAUCCGAGCGUUAUCCGGAUUUAUUGGGUUUAAAGGGAGCGUAGAUGGAUGUUUAAGUCAGUUGUGAAAGUUUGCGGCUCAACCGUAAAAUUGCAGUUGAUACUGGAUAUCUUGAGUGCAGUUGAGGCAGGCGGAAUUCGUGGUGUAGCGGUGAAAUGCUUAGAUAUCACGAAGAACUCCGAUUGCGAAGGCAGCCUGCUAAGCUGCAACUGACAUUGAGGCUCGAAAGUGUGGGUAUCAAACAGG